AAGUAGGGAAAGGAUAAGCGCUGAAAGCAUCUAAGCACGAAGCCUACUCCAAGAUGAGAUCUCCCAUUCGCAAGAAGUAAGACCCCUUAAAGACGAUAAGGUAGAUAGGCCAGGGAUGGAAGUGCAGUGAUGUACGGAGUUGACUGGUACUAAUCGGUCGAGGACUUAAUCA
rnacentral:rRNA from 1 species